rnacentral:rRNA from 1 species
CAAUAGCGUAUAUUAAAGUUGUUGCAGUUAAAAAGCUCGUAGUUGGAUUUGUGGCGUACGGUGUGUUCCGGGCACUUGUUGUCUGAGUAACCUGCUGUUGCCAUCCUUGGGUGGAACCUGUGUGGCAUUAGGUUGUCGUGCAGGGGAUGCCCAUCAUUUACUGUGAAAAAAUUAGAGUGUUCAAAGCAGGCUUAUGCCGUUGAAUAUAUUAGCAUGGAAUAAUGAGAUAGGACUUUUUUGCUAUUUUGUUGGUUUGCGCAAGAAGGUAAUGAUUAAUAGGGACAGUUGGGGGUAUUCGUAUUCCAUCGUCAGAGGUGAAAUUCUUGGAUUUUUGGAAGACGAACUACUGCGAAAGCAUUUACCAAGGAUGUUUUCAUUAA